rnacentral:lncRNA from 1 species
GGAUUUUGGUGCGCAGUCUAUCUUUCACAUUAGGGCACACCUACUUUGUGUGAUCGGAUCGUUGUUUCCACAUGCCAGCGGGAACUCUGUGCCGCUAAGCCUUCUUCGGUUACUAGAUGACCUGGAGAGCCUGGGUGGUUAUAGUUGGGGUAGUGCUGUUCUUUCCUACACAUACAGGAAGAUGUGUGAUGCGAGCAGAGGAGUCAAAGACUUCACUGGGUAUGCCACAUUACUUCAGGUACGCAUUACUUCCACUAAAUCCCAUUACUGUCAUUUAGUUUUAACAAAUUGUCUUCCCAUACAACUUGAUGUGCAAAUAUAUGUACUUUGAUACCAGGUGUGGAUAUACGAGCGGUUCCCUACGAUAGCUCCACAUCUCAGGUCUCAACCCCAGUUCACUUACCCAAUUGCGCUUAUGUAUGUAAUAUGCUACUCUUCUCAUAAACGCAUUCAAUUAUUGCACAUGCACUACUUCUCGUCCUUAAUCUAAACAUUUUGUUGUAGGUGGGUGGCUUCAGUGACCCGUACUCAGGUGCCGGACGCUCAGAGUCGUAUGACCCGGUACGAGUUGGAUAACAUGGGUGUGGAACAGUUUUUGUGGUGGACGUAUGCAUAUUUAGCUGAUGAGUUUCAGCCCGAGCAGACAUUGUACUUGCGGUGGACAGCUCCCACCCCUUUGAUGUACAUGGCAUAUGUGGAGUGGUGUUAUACUGACAGGGUCACGAGGCAGUUUGGGUUCGUUCAGGACAUACCCACAUCCUCCCCACGUAGGAAUCAUCAGGACUUGCACGACGUCGUCAACGAGUCCAUUGACUGGCAGGGCGCCAGGGAGACAUACAUUCAUUACUGGGAUACGUCCCUUACCCGAGCUAUGACAUCUCCGCCAUUCAUUUUGGGCAAUGGUUGCUCUCCCGCAUACAUGCCUUGGUACCUCCAGGUUACACGUAGAUACAUGGUUAACCCAUUGUUCUGGCGUAGAGCGGAUGCUUUUCAGGGGACACAGGGCGCCACACAGUCAUUGGUAAACAACUACUUUUACUGUCUUCCACAAUUACUUUUGUUCUACUGCAUAUGUUAUGUCAUCUAGAAUGUAUUCUCGGCCUGACUUCUCUUUGCAUGUUUAUGUUUGGUAAUAGGAGGAGCAGCUUCUAGAGGUGGACUCUGCCAUUGACCCUGCUGCUCCCGAGAUUUACUUGGACUGGCUCCUGACACCGCUGAUUUGAGGAAGGACAAUUUGAAGAUCCGGUGGUUGAUUACACACUUUGGCAGAUGUCACCGGUUGGACGAGUUGGCUGGUGAUUUUGGUGCGCAGUCUAUCAUUCACAUUAGGGCGCACCUACUUUGUGUGAUCGGAUCGUUGUUUCCACAUGCCAGCGGGAACUCUGUGCCGCUAAGCCUUCUUCGGUUACUAGAUGACCUGGAGAGCCUGGGUGGUUAUAGUUGGGGUAGUGCUGUUCUUUCCUACACAUACAGGAAGAUGUGUGAUGCGAGCAGAGGAGUCAAAGACUUCACUGGGUAUGCCACAUUACUUCA